GCCAGUUCCCCGACAAUGGUACCGGUAAUAGCUGCUAAUUCGCACUCCAUGAAAUUGUGGAGGGGCUCCCAAGCUGUAAGGAGGUCACAGUCUUCUUGGCCUGUUGAUAGGGACAGAUUGAGCUAUGGAACCAUCAGAGCUCUCGGAGUUAUUAGUGUUCCUGGUGCAAAGCACCCUUUUCCUGCCCAGCAUUUUGUCAUGUGGAUGCGGAAUUGCUGACAGCUUUUUUGGCAACUUGAAACUGGUCCCGGCAGGGUCAGAGAGUCCCCCUGAUGGCUGUGUGCUUGGACGUGGAGUGACCGUGCCCGUAGCACUGGGAAAGAGACCUGCUGACCCACCCCCUUAUGAGCUGGCAUCUCUACUUCAACCAGGGCCUCGACCCUGAAGUAGUGCUGUGCUCAGGCCCGUAUUGCCAGCAGAUAGGGACAGCGGUGACUGAAAGGGGCCCACGGCGGGUGAUUUUUUAACCACUCUGCAUUUCUGAAAUCACAUGACCUGUAUAGUGU
rnacentral:lncRNA from 1 species